CGCACAUUGCGCCCUUUGGUAUUCCGAGGGGCAUGCCUGUUCGAGCGUCAUUUAAACAAUCAAGCACAGCUUGGUCUUGGACCCGGGCCCCGAGAGGGCGCCCGGCCCAAAACUCACGGAUGGCGUUCCCGUCGAGUCUUAAGCGUAGCAAAAGUUACCACCGCUUCAGAGACUCUGGCGGGAGCAGCCCCGAGAACUACCCCCAAAGUUUGACCUCGGAUCAGGUAGGGAUACCCGCUGAACUUAA
rnacentral:misc_RNA from 1 species